rnacentral:sRNA from 1 species
GCACAGAUUCUCUCUCUUCAGCACAUGGCCACUGCCAGGAGAUGGGGAAGGUGGGGGUGUAUUCAAUUCAAGACUGUCCCUACACUCCUCAGUGCCUCUUUUGGUGAUAUGAAGUAAAAACCAGGUACUUCUAUUGUGACUGUAAAAGCUUUUGCUCCUGACUCAAUUCAGGACAGCAUUAAAUAUUCAAUUUUUAGUGGAAAUGAAGAUGGAGUUCUUUCCCUGUGCUCUAAGUCAGGACAACUCACUGUGAAAGAACCCAAGUUUCUUGAUUUUGAAGUCAGAAAUGAGGUACAACUCAUCGUUUUAGCUGAAAGUAGUGGGCAUAGAGCCUAUUGCAAAGUAGCAGUCUUGAUACAGGAUGAGAAUGAUAAUUCACCAUGCUUUGAACAAAGCGUUUACCAAGCAUCAGUGUCUGAAAGCCAACUCUACAAUGCUCAUGUCAUACAGGUUUUUGCUACCGACCUGGACAGUGGUUUGAACGGCCUGAUUGAGUAUUCUAUUCUGUCUGG